AAGGCAAAGAAGGAAGCUCCUGCCCCUCCUAAAGCCAAAGCCAAAGUGAAGGCUUUGAAGGCCAAGAAGGCAGUGCUAAAAGAUGUCCACAGCCACAAGAAAAAAAAAGAUCUGCAAGUCACCCACCUUCCGGCGGCCCAAGACACUAUGACUCCCGAAGCCCCCCAAGUGUCUUCAAAAGACUGCCCCCAGGAAAAACAAGCUUGACCACUGUGCUAUCACCAAGUUUCCACUGACCACUAAGUCUACCACGAAGAAGAUAGAAGACAACAACACACUUGUGUUCAUUGUGGAUGUUAAAGCCAACAAGCACCAGUUCAAACAGGCUGUGAAGAAGCUCUAUGACACUGAUGUGGCCAAGGUCAACACCCUGAUUAGGCCUGAUGAAGAGAAGGCAUAUAUGUUCAACUGGCUCCUGAUUACAAUGCUUUGGAUGUUGUCACCAAAUUGGAGUCAUCUAA
rnacentral:lncRNA from 1 species